rnacentral:misc_RNA from 1 species
UACGAAGGUCCCAAGCGUUGUUCGAAAUCACUGGGCGUAAAGCGCACGUAGGCGGACUUUUAAGUCAGGGGUGAAAUCCCGGGGCUCAACCCCGGAACUGCCUUUGAUACUGGAAGUCUUGAGUCCGAGAGAGGUGAGUGGAAUUCCGAGUGUAGAGGUGAAAUUCGUAGAUAUUCGGAAGAACACCAGUGGCGAAGGCGGCUCACUGGUCCGGUACUGACGCUGAGGUGCGAAAGCGUGGGGAGCAAACAGG